GUUUGCAAUAUUAAAACAAGCUUGGUUGAAAAUGGUCUCAAUUUCACAGCAUCUUCACACCAAGUAAAUAGAGAACCAGAGAGGGCAAGAUACGGGAGACGCUAUGCCUGGUGUGCUCGUAAUUCGGUUAAAUUCAGGGAUUAUCUUCAAGUAACAUUUUCUGGAUUACGGCUCAUCUCCGCUGUAGAGACCGGAGGAAUACGCCAAAGUUUUUUAAACCUUUACGUCAAGACGUUUUUUAUUUCAUACAGCAUUGAUGGCAAGCAAUGGAGAAUCUACAAGUCUGGUUUUUUUAGCAGGGUAAAUUUAGACUUGUCCCAAGCAUUUCUCUCUCUCUCUCAUCUAUUGUCCACAAUAUUGUAUAUACAUAACAUGGGACGUGUAUAACAACUGGAUCUAGAACGACUUUCCACUAUAUGAAUGGCCGGGCGUCAUUUCAUAAUAUAUAAUUGGUCAGAAGUAGCUGAAACUAUGGGAGGGGGGCACAUCUGGCGUUUUUUGAACCUGUUGAAGUAUGUUGUGCAGUCAAACCGGCUUUCCACCGCUUGAAUUUUAGAAUUUUGGGUAUAGUGAUUUUGCAAAAUUCAUAAAAAUUUCAUUGAAAUUAGAAAUUAGCAACAAGGCACAAAGUUUGCAUGUAAAAAUCUAUUCGCGAAGAUUACUUAAUUGUGUCCUGGACGGCUUGUAUAAUUUAUAGUAAGAUUAUGAGUUGAAGUGUGAUUUAUCUCAAACAGGAAAACAGAUUGUGUCCAUUUAUAUAACACGAUUUCUUGUAAAUCUCUUUUCUUAGGACCCUUUGGCGUUUCCACCACUCGUAAUGAAAUUCUAACGUUUUCGUCCUACUGAAAACUGAAAUCAACUGUAAUGUAUUUUACUGUAUAAAUAACAAC